UUCACCUACGGGGGGCAGCAGUGGGGGAUAUUGGACAAUGGGGGGAACCCUGAUCCAGCGACGCCGCGUGAGUGAAGAAGUAUCUCGGUAUGUAAAGCUCUAUCAGCAGGGAAGAAGAAAUGACGGUACCUGAGUAAGAAGCCCCGGCUAACUACGUGCCAGCAGCCGCGGUAAUACGUAGGGGGCAAGCGUUAUCCGGAAUUACUGGGUGUAAAGGGAGCGCAGACGGCAGUGCAAGUCUGGAGUGAAAGCCCGGGGCCCAACCCCGGAACUGCUCUGGAAACUGUGCGGCUAGAGUACUGGAG
rnacentral:rRNA from 1 species